CUGUACAUGAGGAACCCAUUCCCAGUGUUUGGUGGCGGGUAGGGGAGGGGGGCAACCCUGACUCCACAGGGCCAACAAUAUGGAUCCCCAUCAUCCUGGACACAUGGCUGGUUUAGAGAUCCACUUGUCCUCCAAGCUGGGGCCAAUCUGUGUUCUCCCCAAGACCUGAUGAAAUCGAUGCUAAAGAUGCUUUCAAAACCACAAGGAUAUGAUGUAAGGCGUGCAAUCAAAGACAAUAACACUCUCUGCCCAUUCAUCAUCUUAAAGGAGCCGAUCAACACGCCAUCCCUCGUGUGCCAUCUACAUAAGAGUUGUUGCCGACACAGGCAACUCCAGAGGAGUUUGAGCCUUAAAAACUACCUAGAGUGCUAUACUUCACAGAAAACAGGGCUUUCUGAAAAUGGAGACAAAACGAUAAAUUUGCAGGCAAAACAGCUCUAAGAGGCGCUUCAAAGUACUGCUGUAUUUAUCUCUGGGACAUUUGGGAAUGAUGUCCUUAGUGUCAUGAUGGCAUGGACCGUGGAAACAGCAGGGACUAACUUCAGGCAACUUUCCUAAACUGACGCUCAGGAAAAGAACUGUUGGAUCCUUAUCUGGAAUCUCACCAGGGGCCUCAGAGAGUCUGCGGGAUGACAAGAUUUCUUUCACCUUCCUCUGAUUAUACAACCACACUUUCCUCCCGCAGGACAAUUUAUCUGGACCGUUUUUCUGAGCAUAACAUACAGCCUGGACUCCUAGGCUUUGAGGGCUAGAGUAGUCUGUUCAUUCUCUGUCUUCCAUGGAAACUUCCACCUGGAAAGUGGGAUGAGGAGAUAAAACCUGGAAAUAUUUUAUAAGUUUCUGCACAAAAGAAAGCAGUAUCUGGGUCUCAAUCUUUCCACCCUCUUUUUGGCAGCUCCAAAAUCAAGUCUAUGUUAACAGGGGGGGAAAAAAGCUCAAGCAAUUAUACUGUUCACAGAGGCAGCUAAGCAAAACUCUUCUCCCAACUCUGCUGUUGUUGGUAUGGUUGUCGUAGCAAUGCAGUCAGGGACCAAGAGGAUCCUAGUGUCUCUGACUGCUGGGGUGGGGAGGGUAAGGGACCCACAAAACAGGGAUGCCCAGAGACAAGAAUAUUCAAAACAAAGUCAGCCCUUGACUGUAAGAAGCAGUUUGGGAGUCUGGCAUGCCUUGAGAGCUUUCCUUUCACUGAACGUUUGUCCCCAGGGAUGCCUCCAUGACCCUGAAAAGCAGAUGUAUAGAUCCAGGCCCGUUUUCAUCAGAAUAACACUUGUUCUCUUUUAUCUGGCAGACUGAUGUAGUGAGAAAAGCACAAGGCUUUGGAAUCAGACAGUUUGGGGAUCUGAGCUAAGAGACUU